rnacentral:rRNA from 1 species
GCUCAGUCAGAGUUUGAUCCUGGCUCAGGACGAACGCUGGCGGCGUGCUUAACACAUGCAAGUCGAACGGAAAGGCCCUGCUUUUGUGGGGUGCUCGAGUGGCGAACGGGUGAGUAACACGUGAGUAACCUGCCCUUGACUUUGGGAUAACUUCAGGAAACUGGGGCUAAUACCGGAUAGGAGCUCCUGCUGCAUGGUGGGGGUUGGAAAGUUUCGGCGGUUGGGGAUGGACUCGCGGCUUAUCAGCUUGUUGGUGGUAGUGGCUUACCAAGGCUUUGACGGGUAGCCGGCCUGAGAGGGUGACCGGCCACAUUGGGACUGAGAUACGGCCCAG